rnacentral:rRNA from 1 species
ACGCUGGCGGCGUGCCUAAUACAUGCUAGUCGAGCGAACGGACGAGAAGCUUGCUUCUCUGAUGUUAGCGGCGGACGGGUGAGUAACACGUGGAUAACCUACCUAUAAGACUGGGAUAACUUCGGGAAACCGGAGCUAAUACCGGAUAAUAUUUUGAACCGCAUGGUUCAAAAGUGAAAGACGGUCUUGCUGUCACUUAUAGAUGGAUCCGCGCUGCAUUAGCUAGUUGGUAAGGUAACGGCUUACCAAGGCAACGAUGCAUAGCCGACCUGAGAGGGUGAUCGGCCACACUGGAACUGAGACACGGUCCAGACUCCUACGGGAGGCAGCAGUAGGGAAUCUUCCGCAAUGGGCGAAAGCCUGACGGAGCAACGCCGCGUGAGUGAUGAAGGUCUUCGGAUCGUAAAACUCUGUUAUUAGGGAAGAACAUAUGUGUAAGUAACUGUGCACAUCUUGACGGUACCUAAUCAGAAAGCCACGGCUAACUACGUGCCAGCAGCCGCGGUAAUACGUAGGUGGCAAGCGUUAUCCGGAAUUAUUGGGCGUAAAGCGCGCGCAGGCGGUUUUUUAAGUCUGAUGUGAAAGCCCACGGCUCAACCGUGGAGGGUCAUUGGAAACUGGAAAACUUGAGUGCAGAAGAGGAAAGUGGAAUUCCAUGUGUAGCGGUGAAAUGCGCAGAGAUAUGGAGGAACACCAGUGGCGAAGGCGACUUUCUGGUCUGUAACUGACGCUGAUGUGCGAAAGC